UUUGUUGGGUUGGAUGAUUUCCUUUUAUUUUAUGAUUGUGUUCUCUUCUUUUUAUUUUUCGUGGAUGUAACAUUUGGUUUUGAUUUCUGGUUGCCCUGUUUUUCAAGUAUGUUAACCCCUCCCUAUAUCUGCUUGCUUUAGCCUGAUAGUCAUAUAGGCUUAAAAGCAUUCUAAAAAAAAAAAGAGUGGAGAUUUUUUUACUUUCCUUACCCACAUUUUAUGAUUUUGAAGUCCUUUUCUAACAUCUUCACGUUUGUCCUUUUGCCGUUCCUUGUGUUUAUCAUUGCUUUUACAAUAGAUUUUUUUUUCCCUUUGAGAUCUGUAUACUGUCUUAUUUAAGGGACUGCUUUCCAACUGUUAUUUCCUCCAUCCUAUUUCUUCUUACUUCUUUUUUUAUUUAGAGGAGCACUUUCAGUAUUUCUUUUAGAAUGGGUUUAUAUUGCUGUACUCUUUUUUAUAAAAUUUUUCAUUAUUAUUUCCCAAAUACAUUUUUUUUUCCUACCAUACAGCAUGGUGACCCAGUUACACAUGCAUGUAUACAUUCUUUUUUCUCCCAUUAUCAUGCUCCAUCAUAAGUGACUAGACAUAGUUCUCGGUGCUACACAGCAGGAUCUCAUUACCAAUCCAUUCCAAAGGCAAUAGUUUGCAUCCAUUAACCCCAAGCUCCCCAUCCAGCCCACUCCCUCCCCCUCCCCCUAGGCAACCACAAGUCUGUUGUCCACGUCUAUGAUUUUCUUUUCUGUGGAAAGGUUAAUUUGUGGUGUAUAUUACAUUCCAGAUGUAAGUGAUAUCAUAUGGUAUUUGUCUUUCUCUUUCUGACUUACUUCACUCCGAGAGUCUCUAGUUCCAUCCAUGUUGCUGCUACUCAGCCAUAAAAGAGAACAAUGCCAUUUGCAGCAACAAGGACUGCUGUACUCUUUAAGUUUUUGUAUGUUGGAGAAAUUACUUCUCCUUAUAUUUUAGUUUAGUUUCUUUACUGAUCAUUUAUUUUCCAUUAUAGCUGGUUUAUAGUGUUCUGUCAAUUUUGUACAUUUAUGUGGAGGGUUUAUUGCCCUUUUGGGAGGUUUAAGUUCUACCAGCGUUCAGUAGAUGCUCUGUAUGAAUUGUUCUACAUGCCGAUGGGUUUUUUGUUUUUUGGUCUUUUUUUUGCCUUUUCUUGAGCUGCUCCUGCAGUAUAUGGAGGGUCCCAGGCUAGGGGUCUAAUUGAAGCUGUAGCCACCGGCCUACGCCAGAGCCACAGCAACGCAGGAUCCGAGCUGCGUCUGCAACCCACACCACAGCUCACAGCAAAGCCAGAUCCUUAACCCACUGAGCAAGGUCAGGGACCGAACCCGCAACCUCAUGGUUCCUAGUCAGAUUCGUUAACCACUGCACCACGCCAGGAACUCCACGUUUUUGUUUUUGUUUUUGUUUUUGUUUUUAAUGUGUUUGUGGAAGAAGAUGAGCGCCACAUCUUACUACUCCACUGUCUUGAUCCUUGCCCUAUGUUGGGUUCUUAACCCACUGAGCCAAAACAGAAACUCCUGAUGUUACAAUUUUAAAGCAGAAUUCCUUUUUUAAAAUUUUGACUAUAGACUGUUCAGGUAUUAUAGUAGCUUCAAGUGCAGAGCAUAGUGAUUCAGCAUUUUUACAUAUUGUACUCCAUUAAAAGCUAUUACAAGAUACUGACUACAAUUCCCUGUGCUAUAUACUAUAUAUAUAUAUUUUCCACCCCAUGGCAUAUGGAGUUCCCCAGCCAGGAAUCAGAUAUGAGCCACAGUCACAACCUAUGCUGAAGCUUCAGCAAUGCCGGAUCCUUGAACCCACUGUGCAGGGCUAGAAAACGGAACCUGAACCCUGGUACUGUGGAUCCCGCUGAUGCCGUUCUGCUGCAGUGGAAACUCCCAUACAAUAUAUCCUUACUGCCUGUCUACCUAUACAUUUUACUUUGUAUCUCUGAACUCUUUACCCCUCAACUGGCUUUCCCCCUUUCCCUCUCCCCUUUGGUGACUUGGAUAUUAGGAGAGCAAGGUGGGCUCAGCGUAAUCACCAGGGUAGAAGGAAACGUGGAGUGAACUUUAGAGUCAGGCAGUACAAGAAGGACUCCACCACCCCCUGCUGGCUGCAAAGAUGGAGAAAGGGGUCAUGAGAAAAGGAAUUCAGGCAGCUUCUAGACACUGGAACAGCACAGGAACUGAUGCUCCCCUAGAGUUCCAAAAGGAACACUGCCCUGCCAACACCUUGAUUUUGACCCCAUGAGACCUGUGUCAGACUUCUGACCCCAGAACUACAAGAAAACCAAUUUUUUUUUCAGCCACCAUAUUUGUGGCAAAGUAUUACAGCAGCACUAGGUAACAAAACAGGUAUCCAG
rnacentral:lncRNA from 1 species